ensembl:lncRNA
UGCAUGAACACACCUCGUUCCCGAACAGACUUCAGACUCCCCAGAUGCAGCUGCCUGAAACCCACCUCGUUCCCCCGAACAGACUUCAGACUCCCCAGAUCCAGCUGCUGAACACCACCUCGUUCCCCGAACAGACUUCAGACUCCCCAGAUCCAGCUGCAUGAACACCACCUCGUUCCCCCGAACAGACUUCAGACUCCCCAGAUCCAGCUGCAUGAACACCACCUCGUUCCCCCGAACAGACUUCAGACUCCCAGAUCCAGCUGCAUGAACACCACCUCGUUCCCCCGAACGACUUCAGACUCCCCAGAUGCAGCUGCAUGAACACCACCUCGUUCCCCCGAACAGACUUCAGACUCCCCAGAUGCAGCUGCAUGAACACCACCUCGUUCCCCCGAACAGACUUCAGACUCCCCAGAUGCAGCUGCAUGAACACCACCUCGUUCCCCCGAACAGACUUCAGACUCCCCAGAUGCAGCUGCAUGAACACCACCUCGUUCCCCCGGCUCCCUAUAAAACAGAGGAAUCAAACUGUGGAUUUCAAACACCAUACAUUUUCAGACAGGUUAAACAAAUCUCAAAUCAGUAUGUAUUGAGAUGCUGACUCCACAAUCUUAUAUUUACAUUAUUUAUUUCAUCUAUAAGGCUCCUCUAACCCUUCUGAUAUCAUAGACAGCAGCCUCUGCCUUCUGUUUGCUGCGGCAGGCAGGGAUGACCCUGGCACCUCUCUUGGUCAAAUCCAAAGCAGUAGCCUUUCCAAUACCAGUGUUGCUCCCUAGGGAACAACAAAACACACUUGAAUGUAAAGGUCUUCAGCAUGAACGCACUUGAAACGUGAGCACACUAAAACAGUCCCCAUCACGUAGCAAGGCAACAACAUUUGCCUAACUAAACUGUUACAAAAGCAGUCUUCCCUUUCAGUGUCACACAGCAGCAUCUUCACCCGCUGAACAUGUUCUAAUAAAGUAUCAAAUACAACGCAAAUUUAAGACAUUAUUACAGUACCGAGCAUUGUUUCUAAAUUUGGUAAACUAAUGCCGUUUGCAAGCUAUCAAAGUUCAGCAGACUAACUUGCUGCAGCAUGCGCCGUUUUUGUUUUAUUACGCCAAGCGUUUCCGGGUUUAAUUUAUAGUUGCUGUACGGAAGUAUUCCACCAGAUGUCGUAUUUGUAAUCUGCAUGAAAAUCGGCUCCAUAUUGAGGGUAUACAUUCUAAUCAAAAUUAUUUGUGGGCAGUGUAGUAGUUUAUUUCCUCUUUAGGCGUUCUACUUCAUUCAAGUGAAUCACUCUGAAUAAUUAAAUAUUCCCAAUCACGAACGACUCAGGCAUCAUUACAUAUUCUGCUAGUUUAUGUUUUUUUUGCAGAGGUGUAAAGUAACUAAUUCCAACUACUCUCUAUACUAAUUAAUUCGUUUAUCCGAGUACUUGUAGGUUGAGUGUUUUUAAGUCAGUCAUUUUACAGAAACUUUAGUCAAAUGUAAUUAAAGUAACAGUACUUCUA